CAGGUUAAGAGACCCUAGUUUAUGGAGGC
rnacentral:piRNA from 1 species